rnacentral:rRNA from 1 species
AGUGAACGCUGGCGGUAGGCCUAACACAUGCAAGUCGAACGGCAGCACAGUAAGAGCUUGCUCUUACGGGUGGCGAGUGGCGGACGGGUGAGGAAUACAUCGGAAUCUACUUUUUCGUGGGGGAUAACGUAGGGAAACUUACGCUAAUACCGCAUACGACCUACGGGUGAAAGCGGGGGAUCUUCGGACCUUGCGCGAUUGAAUGAGCCGAUGUCGGAUUAGCUAGUUGGCGGGGUAAAGGCCCACCAAGGCGACGAUCCGUAGCUGGUCUGAGAGGAUGAUCAGCCACACUGGAACUGAGACACGGUCCAGACUCCUACGGGAGGCAGCAGUGGGGAAUAUUGGACAAUGGGCGCAAGCCUGAUCCAGCCAUACCGCGUGGGUGAAGAAGGCCUUCGGGUUGUAAAGCCCUCUUGUUGGGAAAGAAAAGCAGCAGGUUAAUACCCCGCUGUUCUGACGGUACCCAAAGAAUAAGCACCGGCUAACUUCGUG